AUAUACAUAAAAGGGUUGUCUUUUUCUAUACAAACUAAUAUUGCCAGAAAGUGCCUGAAUGAGACAUUAUUUGGUAGUCUAACAUAAACCAAACUUUGAAUAAAGGCACUGUCACCACACACAAAGUGCUAGUUUUAAAUUAUACUGAAUGCAUUACACAAACUACACAAUUUCAUGCUUAUGGGCAUUUAACAGUACCAGAACACAAUUGGUGUCAUUUCUAUUCCAUUAUUUAGGAAAAGGUCCUACCAAAUUUACUACAGAAUACAUUUUAUACAAAAACAAGCUGUGAACGAAAUAAUCUUAUUCCAAAGCAUGGAAUAUCUUUUUUGACUUGACAGAAACAUGAAACAUAUUCAUUGCCUGUGGCAUUAAUGUAGGCCUAUGUAUGUUGUGGAACUUCAACAGUUGUGUCCAUGACGACGAGCUCAAUAAUGCCAUAUUAUCUGACCUGAUUUUUGUUACAAGAGAUCAAGGAACAGUUUACAAGAUACAAAAUUAAACUCAACAAACUUAACAAGGGCUGACUCAGGUUGUAAUUGUAUCAUCAGUCUUUGGUAAAUCAGCCAGACCACGACA